UGCGCGGCUGGACGCCGCGUUUCGGCAGCUCGGGGAGGGGUCGGGUCACGUUCCCUUCCAGAGUUCGGCGACUCGGAGGCAGGUUCCGCAGGCGCUGCUGGGAGGAGCCCCGCUGCCCGCGGAAGCGGCCCCGCGGCCUCCUCCUCCUUCCGCGCCCGCGCGCCUGCUGCCCCGGGCUCGCGUCCCCGGACCCCGAGCUAAGGUCCCUACCCGCCCCAACAGGUUCUGGAGGCUUCCCCCACCGGAACGCAGAACUUUUUCCUCCUCCUCAGAUUGUUUUCAGCUGCCUCACUAAGAAACGCAAACGAUAAUUUGAGAGAAUUACAAUAGUUUUUUUUUUUUUUUAAAUCCGAAUCCAAACUGCAGUGCCCUGCAUUAAAAAGUUACAGAUGAAAAGAUGAAGCCCAGAGAGGUUAAGGAACUUGCUCCAAGUCACAUAGUAAGUGGAAAAGCCUGGACUUCAAGCAAAUUCAGCUCAGCCAUCACCAACUCUUGCCCACGACCGGUGCAGACAAGAGGAACUGGGUUUAAAAGAGCUGACUGCAACAUUAAGCUAAGAAAGUGACGACAAAUCACACAACACAAACGAUCUUGCUGUGUUGCCCAGACUAGCCUUCCAGGCUCAAGUGAUCUUCCUGCCUCAACUUCCCAAGUAGCUGAGACUACAAGUACAUGCCACUGUGCCUUAUAGGAAGAAGUAAAUUCCAAAAGAAAGAAAAACAUCAGUGGAGGAAAGAGUGUUUUAUGGGAUGUUAUAGAAUAAUAUCCAAGAUAUAUUGUUAAUUUAAAAAUUAGAAUGUAUACAUAUGUUAGUCAGCUUUUCAUUGCUGUGACCAAAAUGCUUGACAAGAACAAAGUAGAAGAAGAAAAGUUUAUUUGAAGCUUACAGUUUCAGAGGUUUGGACCCAAAGUGAGGAAGAACAUCAUGGUGGAAGGGCUUUUCAGAAAAGCCAGCAGCUGCAGCCAGGAAAGAGAGGAAAGGGAGGGACCACAGGGAAGAUGCACCCUUCCAGAGCAGCCCACAGUGACCCACUUCUGUUAGCCACUCCCCACCUGCCUACAGUUACCACCCAGUCGGCCCAUUCAAACUAGGACGUACUAAUUAGGUUACAGCUCUCACAAUCCAGUCAUUUCACCUCCUGCAUUUUUAAAACAAAGUAUUUAUUUAUUCUAAUUAGGUAUAUAUGACAGCAGAAUGCAUUUUGAUUCAUUGUACACAAUUGCAGCACAACUUUUCAUUUCUCUGGUUGUGCAAGAUGUAGCAUCCCACCAUAUGUGUAGUCAUACAGGUACCCAGGGUAAUGAUGUCCAUCUCAUUCCACCAUCUUUCUAGCCCCCAUGCUCCCUCCUCCCCUUUCUCCCCUUUGCCUAAUCAAAGUUUCUCCAUUCUUCCCAUACCCCUCCCCCCAUCAUGGACCAGCAUCCACUUACUUAUCUGAAAGAACAUUCGGUUUUUGGUUCUUUGGAAUUGGCUUACUUCACUUAGCAUGAUGUUCUCCAACUCCAUCCAUUUACCUGCAAAUGCAAUAAUUUUAUUCUAUUUUUUAAAAGAUAUAUAUAGAGAGAGAGAAGAGAGAGAGAGAAUUUUUUAAUAUUUAUUUUUCAGUUUUUGGUGGACACAACAUCUUUAUUUUAUUUUUAUGUGGUGCUGAGGAUGGAACCCAGCGCCCCGCGCAUGCCUGGCGAGCAUGUUACCACUUGAGCCACAUCCCCAGCUCAAUUUUAUUCUAUUUUAAUGCUCAGUAAUAUUCCAUUGUGUUUUUAUACCACAGUUUCUUUAUCCAUUCAUCUAUUGAAGGGCAUCUAAGUUGCUUCCACAAUUUGGCUAUUGUGAAUUGAGCUGCUAUGAACAUUGAUGUGGCUGCUUUACUAUAGUAUGUUUAUUUUAAGUCCUUUGGGUAUAGACUGAGGAAUGGGAUAGCUGGAUCAAAUGGUGGUUCCAUUCCAGAUUUUCUAAGGAAUAUCCAUACUGUUUUCCAGAGUGGUUGCACCAAUUUGCAGUCUCACCAGCAAUGUAUGAGUGUGCCUUUUCCCCCACAUUCUCACCAACACUAAUUCUUAUUUAUAUUCUUGAUAACUGCCAUUCUGAUCGGUGUGAGAUGAAAUCUUAGAGUAGUUUUGACUUGCGUUUCUCUAAUUACUUAGAUGUUGAACAACAUUUUUUCAUAUAUUUGUUGAUCGAUUGUAUAUCGUCUUCUGAGAAGUGUCUGUUAAGCUCCUUAGCCCAUUUAUUGAUUGGGUUGCUUGUUUUUUGUUUUUGGGGGGGUUUUUUGGUAUUUUUUUUUUAGUUCUUUAUAUAUCCUGGAGAUUUCACUUUCUGCAUUAACAUAGGGGAAGCACCUCAUAUCCAAAUCAUAAUAGUAUAAUGCCGUUUGUGUUAAAAUGAAAGGGAAAUGCCUGUAUUCCUUGUAGUGCAUAGAACAUUUCUAAGAGAAUAAAACUCUGGAGAGUAUGUCAGACAGAGGCAGAAGAGGGUUUAUAUUUUUACUUUAUAACCUUCUUUACUGUUUCAACUUUUUGCCAUGCGUAUACUACUUUUGAAAUAAAAAGCUACCUUUUUUUUGCAAACAAAAAAGAUAGUUAAUGAAAGUUUUCUUUUUUAAAACUUUUACCUUUCUUAAAUAAUAUUUGUUCAACUCUAAAUAGUGUCUAUCAUUUCUUAGCCACUUUCUUGAGACUUAGCAUGGGAAAAUGAAAAGCAUGGAGAAGUUUUAGUCUAGUCAUAUAUAUCCAUUACAGAUGUCACUCACCUUGCCAAAUGGAUAUAGUUGACCAAUAACAAGAAAGACAUAUAAUCAAAUACUUAUCUAUAAUAAAUUCCAUGUCUUACUAACAUUUUAAGAGUUUGUAUCCUUUCCCAACAAUAUUACAAUAGAUCAAAUUAAAAUUUUGGGUGAA